UACGUAGGGCGCAAGCGUUGUCCGGAAUUAUUGGGCGUAAAGAGCUCGUAGGCGGCUUGUCACGUCGGGUGUGAAAGCCCGGGGCUUAACCCCGGGUCUGCAUUCGAUACGGGCUAGCUAGAGUGUGGUAGGGGAGAUCGGAAUUCCUGGUGUAGCGGUGAAAUGCGCAGAUAUCAGGAGGAACACCGGUGGCGAAGGCGGAUCUCUGGGCCAUUACUGACGCUGAUGCACGAAAGCUAGGGGAGCAAACAGG
rnacentral:rRNA from 1 species